UAGCUCAGUGGAUAGAGCGUCUGCCUCCGGAGCAGAAGGUCGUAGGUUCGAAUCCUGUCGCGG
rnacentral:tRNA from 1 species